ensembl:lncRNA
CCCGCGGGUGGAGGAGCGAUAAGCCAUAGGCAUGCGAGGGGAGCGAUAGUAGGGGUCAUUUCUUCCUCCAUUCAUCCUCUUCUCCUCUCUACACUGGCCUUUCAUGCUAAUUACAAGCUUUGACUUUAAUCCCAGGAGAAGCCACGGAUGCCGGUGCAGGGAGGCUGACGGACAGAAUGCUACCUCAUACAUACAUUGGCCGUCCAUGCUUAAAUACUGAGGCUCUCUUUAACCUCUGCUAUGCUACGGGUCAUUGCCCAAUACAGUUAAGGUGUGCCUUAAAUGCGCCGGUGAUGCUUUGUGUUUUUCUGAGUGGUUUAACUCCUGCCGGGCAAAGUUCAGGGAAAGGUCGACCGUACUGUUGAGUCCUGCUUGCCUUGCCCUAAAUGUCGGGUGAGUCAUGGAUAUGGAUUAAUAGCAACACUCUUCAUUUACACCUUUAACACUCCCCCACUAAGAAAACGCUCUUCAUGUGGCUCAAGAGGCAGUCGGCCGAGCGGUGACAGGCUGUGGUCAUACUAUCAGUCAUCGCUGUCAUGUGCCCUCAAUCUGUCUGUGCAGCUGUAACAGUGACUCCUUAAAUAACACGCUGACAUCUACAUGAACAACUCACGCAUUUAAUGAACCUUACACAGUCAACGGUAAACAUUUUUGCAUGCUUUUAAUGCUUUUUUUCUCCUUUCAAAUAGGUUAGAUUUUGCUUUACAUUUAAAAUUAUAUUUGAAUCAUCUUUUGCUGUGCUUUAAAGAGGUACACCUAUUUUGAUGUGUUGACAUACUAAAGCACAUGCGGGUGAGUCAUGGAUAUGGAUUAAUAGCAACACUCUUCAUUUACACCUUUAACACUCCCCCACUAAGAAAACGCUCUUCAUGUGGCUCAAGAGGCAGUCGGCCGAGCGGUGACAGGCUGUGGUCAUACUAUCAGUCAUCGCUGUCAUGUGCCCUCAAUCUGUCUGUGCAGCUGUAACAGUGACUCCUUAAAUAACACGCUGACAUCUACAUGAACAACUCACGCAUUUAAUGAACCUUACACAGUCAACGGUAAACAUUUUUGCAUGCUUUUAAUGCUUUUUUUCUCCUUUCAAAUAGGUUAGAUUUUGCUUUACAUUUAAAAUUAUAUUUGAAUCAUCUUUUGCUGUGCUUUAAAGAGGUACACCUAUUUUGAUGUGUUGACAUACUAAAGCACAUGUUAAAGGGGUCAUAUGACGCGAUUUCAAGUU